ACGUAGGGGGCAAGCGUUAUCCGGAUUUACUGGGUGUAAAGGGAGCGUAGACGGCAUGGCAAGCCAGAUGUGAAAGCCCGGGGCUCAACCCCGGGACUGCAUUUGGAACUGUCAGGCUAGAGUGUCGGAGAGGAAAGCGGAAUUCCUAGUGUAGCGGUGAAAUGCGUAGAUAUUAGGAGGAACACCAGUGGCGAAGGCGGCUUUCUGGACGAUGACUGACGUUGAGGCUCGAAAGCGUGGGGAGCAAACAG
rnacentral:rRNA from 2 species